AGCGAACGCUGGCGGCAGGCUUAACACAUGCAAGUCGAGCGGGCGUAGCAAUACGUCAGCGGCAGACGGGUGGGUAACGCGUGGGAACAUACCUUUUGGUUCGGAACAACACAGGGAAACUUGUGCUAAUACCGGAUAAGCCCUUACGGGGAAGAUUAUCGCCGAAGAUUGCCCGCGUCUGAUUAGCUAGUUGGUGAGGUAACGGCUCACCAAGGCGACGAUCAGUAGCUGGUCNGAGAGGA
rnacentral:rRNA from 1 species